rnacentral:rRNA from 1 species
UAGCAUGGAAUAAUGGAAUAGGACGUGCGGUUCUAUUUUGUUGGUUUCUAGGACCGCCGUAAUGAUUAAUAGGGAUAGUCGGGGGCGUCAGUAUUCAGCUGUCAGAGGUGAAAUUCUUGGAUUUGCUGAAGACUAACUACUGCGAAAGCAUUCGCCAAGGAUGUUUUCAUUAAUCAGGGAACGAAAGUUAGGGGAUCGAAGACGAUCAGAUACCGUCGUAGUCUUAACCAUAAACUAUGCCGACUAGGGAUCGGACGGGAUUCUAUUAUGACCCGUUCGGCACCUUACGAGAAAUCAAAGUUUUUGGGUUCUGGGGGGAGUAUGGUCGCAAGGCUGAAACUUAAAGAAAUUGGCGGAAGGGCACCACAAGGCGUGGAGCCUGCGGCUUAAUUUGACUCAACACGGGGAAACUCACCAGGUCCAGACAAAAUAAGGAUUGACAGAUUGAGAGCUCUUUCUUGAUCUUUUGGAUGGUGGUGCAUGGCCGUUCUUAGUUGGUGGAGUGAUUUGUCUGCUUAAUUGCGAUAACGAACGAGACCUCGGCCCUUAAAUAGCCCGGUCCGCAUUUGCGGGCCGCUUGCUUCUUAGGGGGACUAUCGGCUCAAGCCGAUGGAAGUGCGCGGCAAUAACAGGUCUGUGAUGCCCUUAGAUGUUCUGGGCCGCACGCGCGCUACACUGACAGGGCCAGCGAGUACAUCACCUUAACCGAGAGGUUUGG